rfam:Amazona aestiva scaffold_1218, whole genome shotgun sequence.
ACACUUACCUGGCACGGGAUACACCAUGAUCAGGCUGGUGGUUUUCCCAGGGCGAGGCUCAUCCCUUGCACGCCGGGUGUGCUGACCCCUGAUAUUUCCCCAAAUGUGGGAAACUCUGACUAUAACAGAC